UUGGGUUUAUCCUGCCUGGGACUCUCUGUGCUUUCUGGACUUGGGUGGCUACUAUUUCCUUUCCCAUGCUAGGGAAGAUUUCGACUAUAAUCUCUUCAAAUAUUUGCUCGGGUCCUUUCUCUCUCUCUUCACCUUCUGGGAUCCCUAUAAUGCAAAUUUUGUUGCGUUUAAUGUUAUCCCAGAGGUCUCUUAAGCUGUCUUCAUUUCUUUGCAUUCUUUUUUCUUUAUUCUUUUCUGCAGCAGUGAAUUCCACCUUUCUGUCUCCAGGACAGUUAUCCGUUCUUCUGCCUCAGUUAUUCUACUAUUGAUUCCUUCUAGUGUUUUUUUUUUUUUUUUUUUUUUUUUUUUUUCGUUAUUCUACUAUUGAUUCCUUCUAGUGUUUUUUUUUUUUUUUUUUUUUUUUUUUUUUUUUUUUUUGCGUGUUUUUUUUUUUUUUUUUUUUUUUUUUUUUUUUUUUUUUUUUUUUUGCGGUACGCGGGCCUCUCACUUUUGUGGCGUCUCGCAUUGUGGAGCACAGGCUCUGGAUGUGCAGGCUCAGCAGCCAUGGCUCACAGGCCCAGCCGCUCCGUGGCAUGUGGGAUCUUACCAGACCAGGGCACGGACCCAUGUCCCCUGCAUCGGCAGGUGGACUCUCAACCACUGCGCCACCAGGGAAGCCC